rnacentral:tRNA from 6 species
GGAGAGGUGUCCGAGUGGUUGAAGGAGCACGCCUGGAAAGUGUGUAUACGUUAAUAGCGUAUCGAGGGUUCGAAUCCCUCUCUCUCCGCCA